rnacentral:rRNA from 1 species
UAUUGGAAUUCGACUAAGCCAUGCGAGUCAAGGUGUCUUCGGACGCCGGCAAACGGCUCAGUAACACGUAGGUAAUCUACCCUCAGGACUGAGAUAACCCCGGGAAACUGGGGCUAAUACCAGAUAGAUAAAAGAUACUGGAAUGUUCUUUUAUCCAAAGCUUUUGUGCCUGAGGAUGAGCCUGCGCCCGAUUAGGUAGUUGGUGGGGUAAUGGCCCACCAAGCCUGCGAUCGGUACGGGCAGUGGGAGCUGUAGCCCGGAGUUGGGGACUGAGACAAGGCCCCAGGCCCUACGGGGCGCAGCAGGCGCGAAACCUCUGCAAUGCGGGAAACCGUGACAGGGGGAUUCCAAGUGCUCAUGCAUUGCAUGGGCUGUUCUUUGGUCUAAGUAACCAGAGGAGUAAGGGCUGGGCAAGACCGGUGCCAGCCGCCGCGGUAAUACCGGCAGCUCGAGUGGUAGCCGCGAUUAUUGGGCCUAAAACGUUCGUAGCCGGAUAAGUAAGUCUUUGGUUAAAUCCUACGACUUAACCGUGGGAAAUCUAGAGAUACUGCUUGUCUUGAGACCGGGAGAGGUUGGAGGUACUCCCAGGGUAGGGGUGAAAUCCUGUAAUCCUGGGGGGACCACCUGUGGCGAAGGCGUCCAACUGGAACGGCUCUGACGGUGAGGGACGAAACCUAGGGGAGCGAGCCGGAUUAGAUACCCGGGUAGUCCUAGGCGUAAAUGAUGCGAGUUAAGUGUGGGGGCAUCUACGAGAUGGCCCUGUGCUGUAGGGUAGCCGUUAAACUCGCUGCCUGGGGAGUACGGUCGCAAGGCUGAAACUUAAAGGAAU